CUUGCACUUUAGAGUCUGAAGGAUAUUCCUCGGGUGCAGCCUGGGUCCAGCUGCUGCUUGCAAACCCUCUCAAAGUCAGAAAUAGCCACUUGGCUGAGGAACAACCCUCUCCCCCGCUCCCCUUCCCCACCUCUCCGUCCCAGCGGCGGCAGGAGCUGUGGAUAACAUCCCGCACCCAUUGAGAGAUAACACCCUGCUCUGGCUGCCAGCACGCCUCGAGCAGCUCCUAAUCUGCCUACUCGCAGAAAUACACCUCGCUUGGGCUUUUUGCCCCCCCUCCCCUGCUUCUCGGGAGAACUUGUUUAUCGCUGGGUGCAGGGAAACCGUGACCUCUGCUGCCUGCCGUCCCCUUUGGCUCCCUGUCCCCGGGAGCGGCAGGGGGCCGGCUGGGGACAUGCGAGGGGAUACCCGAAGGCAGGGCAGGGCGCCUGGAUAUCCGGAUACGAGGGGAGAGGGGUGGGAAGGGGGUUUUGCAAUAACAGCACGUCAUAUUAAUUAGACCAGUGUUGGUCUUUGGAUGGUUUCUGUUAACGACAUCCAUGUGGUAAACUGAGUAUGGAUGAUCCCAAGCGGGAGAGCUGGGGAGACCUGGGGAGGUAGGAAUGGGGCUGAAAUGAGUUAAUAUGGACCAUAAAGUCAUGCAGGUGAAGGUGGGAAGGAAAAGCUCCUGCUGGUGCUUUGGGGCUUGUCUGGAGUGGCAGAGGAGGGAAUGGCUGGGGACAAGGACACCAUGAGGGUGGGAUGCUCUUGGUGGGUGGGGACAUGCUCCCCAUGGCACAGGAGACUGCUGUGCCCCCUGCACCCAGCCUGGCCUGCCUGCACGAGGCAGCUUUGGAUGAGAGGGGCAACAGGGUGGUCAGAGGGAUGGGAGAACCCAGGGGAGAUAGGACAAGCUUGGCUGGUCUGACUUAGCAAAGCAGGGAGCAUGAGGGACACAUAGAACCUUCCUGCUCCUGUCCCCAUGCCCAGGUCUCCAGCAAAUUGGCCCUAAUCAAUUCUUUAUCUGUUCUUCAGCCAGGACCAGGGAAGAACCGGAUCUGGUGGGUUUUUUUUCAACCCUCAGCUUAAUUUCUUUCAGCCAGGGAGGCAGGGCCUGGCUGAGCAGCGCUCUGUGGGAAACAGGGUGGGUUUUGUACCGCCCACUGGUUUAUUUGUAUUUUUAGAGCAUGCCACAGGCACUGGGUCACUGAAGUGAGUGAAAUUCCACCCUGGAGCCUGAAGCAACUCCUCAUCCCCAUCCCUCUCCUUGGGGUUGGACUGGAGUCAACAGCUGAGCUGGGGCUCAAGUGUCCUGGUCACUGCAGUGCCCAGCUGAGGUGAGGGGCAGCUGGGUGCGUGGGUGCCAGGACUCUGAGUGGCAGAGCUGGGGACAAGCAAGGCAGUGGGUAGAGGACAGCCCUCCUGCUGUUAUCACACCUAGAAAAGCCCUAUGGGAGUGAGGGUCUGGCUGUGCCGAGCUGGAGACCCCGUUCUGGGGUGGCAGAGGAUGCCCAAAGGCUCUCAGUGCAAGUGAUCACAGUGGGGGAUUUGUUUGGUGAGAUGAUGGGCACCCUGCACCGAGGGAGCUGGGGGUGGUUGGGAUGCUGACAUGAGACUGGACAAACUGGAGAGUGGCAGGGAGCUCCAAUAUGUCUAGGAGAAGGUCACCAGUACUGUGCUUGCUCAGUGAUGAGUUGGCAACAUGGUGAGUCAAAAGCUGAGGAGAGGGGAAAUACCCAGCAAAGGGGAACAUGUGGGGGUUAAUAUGUCACAGCACAUCUCCUUGAGAACACAGCUCAGGUCUCUUUAUCAUCUACGGCAGCGAGUGAUGCAAGGGAAGCAUCUCAUCAGGGCUUGGGCUCAACAGGGAGUGAGUCAAUCGGGUGGGAAUCUCAUCUCUUGAAUCACUGCUGACGGCACUGGCAGCUCCCCCCACCAUCUUUCCCUUGUGAGGGGUGAUGGAGUCACAGUCCUCUUGGGGGAGCUUUGGGGGAAAACCAUCACGUUUAUAAUUUAAAUCUGAGAUGAAGAGGGAAACUGUCCCCUGGGAUGGUGAUCCAACCAGAAAGUGUAACAAGAAGUGCUCCCAGGAAGAGCAGCAGUUAUCAGAUCCCAGCUUUAAGGCAAGCAAUUCACCUGGCAAUGAGGACAAGCAAAGUGAGCUGAGGGUUGAGAGUUGUUGUUUGAGAGCUGCACCUCACAAGGUGUGAAAUAUCUUCAUCAGCCUUUUCUGAUGAUCUUUCAGGAGAUGAUUUUCCUUGCUUGAGCUACCCAAUAUACUUGGCAUCACCCGGUUCAGGUGGCCCAAGCACCCAGCGAUGAUCACACAUGCAGGGAGCCUGUUGCUUUCAUCCAGAGAUGCACACACUGAUGGGAUUUAGCAGGACCAACACUCGGACCAUGGCUUGAACCUCAAAAGUUGUGACAGAAUCCCUGCAGGAGGGAGCUGAAGAAGAGGAUGCAAAGCACUGUUGUUGUUGCUGGAAACAGACAGGCUUGGGAACUGGGAUCUCUUUUCUGAGCCAUCCUUUCCUGGUGGUGGUGCACAGGAUGAUGUGAUGGGGAGAGGAUGGCCCCGUGGGCAUGCUGAAUCCUUUCUGCCUGUCCAUGCUGAGAGCAAGGGCUCCCCUGUGCCCACACCUCUCCUCCAACACACAAGAGUUUUGGGGUGAUUCUUCCCCUCUAAUACACAACCCAGAGCCUGCACUUCCUGGUGUCUACUGCCAGUCCAUGGCUCUGCUCCGAGGGCAUCCCCUGUGGUGUUUUUUUUUCCCCAGGCCUUUUUCUCAGAGAUCCACCCCUUUUUUUCCAAAACAGGCUGUUUCCCCUAAUAGCAAGUGCCCAGCAGCCAGCAGCUGACGGCUCAGUUGCUUUGCCUUAUGCACAAAACUUUCCACUUGUGCUUUUCAUCUUCCCGGUGGAGGAAGCGCCUGCUCUCCCCAGCCUCUUGCCUGCAGAAGCGUGCGGGAAACGUCUGCCCUCCUGUGUUCAAAGUCCCCUCCAAAGAGAAGCCAGGGGUGCACUGACCUCAUGGAGUAAAUGUUUUCCAUGACAUCUCCUUCGGACAUCUCCUCUCGGGCUCUGUACCUAUAGCUGAGCCGGCUGCAGGGUUGCAGCCAGCUCUGCUGGUGCAGGGCUAAAUUCUGCCCUCUCCUUGUUUUCUUACAUGUCCCCCUACAGAGACACCACCUGAAGCCUUCAGUGACCUCCCUGGAAUCCCCUCCAGGGACUGUGCUGGCCAACAAGGCAUCCCACGGACCAGUGCUGCUCCCUGGAGACACUGGAUCCUUGCCGUGAUGGUUUCUCCAACACUUCCCCUCUCCUGCUCACAGCUCUAACAUGCUUGUGGUCAUGAACUGCUGCCAAGCCAGCUGGAAACUGGAGCCAGCAGCCUUGGAGCAGGCACGAAGCAUCCGUGGGCCUGAGCUGAACGAGAAGAGGAGCAUGAUCCAGCAGGUGUUUUCCACAUCCAGCCUCUCACUGUUUGUGCUGUACAGAGUUCUCCCUCCUGACAGUGUUCUUCUCAAGGAGACAGUCACAUCUGGCACUGAUCCCCAGAGGGUCUUGGCAGCUGGAUUUGCAGCACAGGUGCUGCAGAGCCCAGGGCUCCUCAUGGUCAAGGUCUGUUUUACUUGCAACCAUGAAAAAUCGGUGUCUUUCCCCCACCACUGGCUUGCUAAGACAAGAUGCUGUGGUCAUUCUCCUGCUGGGGCUUUUCAAACCACGUGCUAAGUCCCAGCUCCAGUGCAGUCUCCUGAGGGGGACUGGGGCAUUUCAUGGAUUGGAUUCCUUAGGACUAGAUCCCUCUCACCACCCCUCUUGUGGAACAGAGAGAGAAAACACAAUAUGCUGUCAGAAAUAAUGCCAAGCAUAUGGCACACAGCAGGAGGUGUCAAAAGAUGCUCCCUUCAACCUCACAGGCAGCCGUGUGCCUUCUGCAUUAGCCAUGUAGAGAAAAUUACUCAAGCAAUUUGAUGUGGGCAUUUUAUAGCCCUUUAUUUCUGGUGGAAGGUUUCACCUACAGCAAAGGUGCCUCUGCAAGUGAGGCAAGGAGAACAGCUAUGCCUGUUCUCUGGUAGCUCCUCCCCAUUUGGUAUAAGAGAUACCAGUUUUUCCCAGUUAUGCAUGGGAGAAGUGCCAUUCUUACCUACAGGGUUGUUAGUGCUAGAGUUAAAAUGAAUAUUAAAUAUCUAUUAACCUGGGUGGGGGGUUUUUUUUGUCCUUUUAGCAAUAUUUUUUUGUUUUAAACAGCUCUCUUUUUGGCAGACAGGGAAGUGUCCUAAACUUUCUCUGCAGCUUGCCUGGUGGUAGCUUCACAGGAAUGCUGAAGGAUGCAGUGGGUGCUUGGCUGGACUAGGACUGGACCAGCCUGUGAUUCCAUACAUUAUUCUGCACCUGCUGCAGAGCAAGUCAUGGAUCUCCUCCCUUCAUCCCAUGCUCCUGAAGAAAUGUGUGUGUCCAGUGAGGUUCCCAGCACUCCCCUGUAGCUGUGAGCCACAGAAGCAUUGAAUGUGCAGGGUGCAUUUACAGGUGAGCUGUAAAAGAGGGUGAGCUCUGAAGAUGCACGUGUCAAUGGCACAUUUCUGCACCUGUUUUUGUCUGCUCCUUGGAGAAGACAUGUAUCUUGCCUCUUCAACAAGUGCUGUGCUCCUCUGUGCAAAACCCAGAGGUGGAUAUCUGUUCCUGGGAGGAUGCAAAGGCACAUCCCACCUGAAGGUGACAGCUCAGUGUUGGGGAAAUGAUUCUCUGCUGGAAGUGCCUGCCUGUUGGACACAGCAGAAUUUUGGAGGGGGUGGGUGUUGCAUCAUAUACUGGAGGUUGACUUCUAGCUGGAUGUAUAAAUCUUGGCCUUCCCGGGGCCUGGGUCUUCCCUGGGACUGCUGCUCUGUCUCCUUGCAUUUCUGGGGAGAGGAAACUGUGGCUCACCUCUCCACAAGCACAAAUUAGUUGGGUUUUGUUGCUUUGUGGGUUAGGUUUUUUUUUUUUUUACUUUUUUGGGGUUUUGCAUGUUCAGUUUGAACAAUAAAACAUCUGUUCCUGAG